CCUACGGGAGGCAGCAGUGGGGAAUAUUGCACAAUGGGGGAAACCCUGAUGCAGCGACGCCGCGUGAGUGAAGAAGUAUUUCGGUAUGUAAAGCUCUAUCAGCAGGGAAGAAGCAAGACGGUACCUGACUAAGAAGCCCCGGCUAACUACGUGCCAGCAGCCGCGGUAAUACGUAGGGGGCAAGCGUUAUCCGGAUUUACUGGGUGUAAAGGGAGCGUAGACGGUGAUGCAAGUCAGAAGUGAAAGCCCGGGGCUCAACUCCGGGACUGCGUUUGAAACUGUGUGACUGGAGUGCAGGGGAGGUAAGCGGAAUUCCUGGUGUAGCGGUGAAAUGCGUAGAUAUCAGGAGGAACACCAGUGGCGAAGGCGGCUUACUGGACUGUAACUGACGUUGAGGCUCGAAAGCGUGGGGAGCAAACAGGAUUAGAUACCCUUGUAGUC
rnacentral:rRNA from 1 species